CACUAUUCCGAAGCAAUCCAUCAUUAGCGAAGCAAAGCACAAAGAAGAGUUGUAGAGAGAAGAUCCCCCUUUAACCAAAGCAUAGCAACGUGAAGAGAAAUUCAAAAUCAGGUACCUCUCAUCCGCCUCAGUAUUAGUGCAGCCGCAGCAGCCCACCGGAGACUUCAAGGUAUAUCUGCAUGCGUCCGCAGAUCCUCGGAGUCCCACUCUACCUUUACUCUGUUUUACCUCCUUUAUUAUUUUAGAAUCUAUGUAUAGCAGACGGUAGAUAGUUACUCGUAGAGCUUAUGACUCGUGAUUACGGGUUUUGGGAAGUAUUGUGUAAAAUCACGUAUUGGACUCACGUGUAUAUGCCGAGCGGCAUUUUACCAUUAUAUAGUUAUUAUCGAAGCUUA